rnacentral:misc_RNA from 1 species
GUUGAAGAACGCAGCGAAAUGCGAUAAGUAGUGUGAAUUGCAGAAUUCAGUGAAUCAUCGAAUCUUUGAACGCACAUUGCGGCCAUAGGUAUUCCUUUGGCCAUGCCUGUUCGAGCGUCAUUUACACCCUCAAGCCUAGCUUGGUGUUGGGCGCCUGUCCCGCCGUUUUCGCGCGCGGACUCGCCUCAAAGUCAUUGGCGGCGGUCGUGCCGGCCCCCUCGCGCAGCACAUUUGCGCUUCUCGGAGGCCCGGCGGAUCCGCGCUCCAGCAAGACCUUUCACGACUUGACCUCGGAUCAGGUAGGGAUACCCGCUGAACUUAAGCAUAUCAAUAAGCGGAGGA